rnacentral:lncRNA from 1 species
AUGUCCAGCAAACCAAGCUGCUGGUUUUCACAGACAGCCCCACCCACCCUGGUAGCACCACAAGCUCAGGGUGGGGAGGAGAGGGACACAGCUCCAGGCCAGCACACCACCUUCUCCCGCUCUUCUUUCCUGGACGGUCACCAUUCAUCCAUCCAUCCAUCCAUCAGUGCUGUCUGUUUUGUGGUUGGUUGGUUGGUUGGGUGGUUUGGUGGAUUCCCAGAGUCCUUAACGGUUGUUGGUUUUGUCUUGUUUCAUAGCUGUCGGACACAUUUGCUGAGGAAAGCCAGACAUGAGCGCCUCCUUCAGCACCGGACACAGCCUAGGAUCUGGCUGGGCUCAGGACCUCCCCUCCCAUCUCGAGUGCCACGAGGAAUGUUUGUUCCCGUUCUCUGCUGGGGCAGAUGCUAUGGUGGGGCCUCCUCCUUGACGAAGCUGUGGGACUCAGAGCCAGGCUCUGUGUGGCCCGACGAUCCUGCUGACCCCGGCCUCCUGCAGACCAUGGCCGCCAUACCCCUGGCCGCGUCUCCAGCUUUUCAAGUGGGAAGAAACCACCCCGCUACCCAGGACCUGACUUCUGUGGGCCAUCCUCAGUAAGCCCCUAAAAUGUGCACGUUCCACGUGAGGAAGCUGAGGAACAUUCAUGUUGAGUCACCCUCACUGCUAGGAGGAGAUGGAGUCGCGACUGCAGCUCGGGCUUUCCUGCUUUGUAAUCCCGACGCCUCCACCACUGCUGAAUGGAAGUAGUUACUUCUGGAUUGGGUAGGUGAGCGCAUGCCGUGCAUUUUGGCUACUGCACAGAGCCAGGAAUCUGGGAACCACAAUUAUGUCACCUCCAGAAAAACUGCUUCUGUGUGGGUGAGUAGGCAGUGUUGCUGUGAGAGGACAGUUUUCUCUCCAGCUGGGACGCUGAGGAUGGGUAAUGUUUCUGACUCCCCUAAACCCCUGGGUUGGUGUGGCAACUGCUCCUCCUGUUGCUCACCAAGCAUACUGAGGCUUCUGGGCUGGCGAGUGAUUUGUAGUAUUUCCUAAACUCUUCCCAGCUACACUUAAAAGACACGGACCCUACUUGCAGGCUCCAUCAGAGAAGUAAAACUGCUAACCUGAAACAAAAUCUAUCUGAGAAGUAAUGAGAGGAUUAAGUAUAUUGUAGGGAAAACAUGAGGAAUUUGGAGACAGCCUUAUGUGCCCUGUUUAUAUCAUCGUGAGCAAGUAAUAAUUUAUUUUCUCUGUUUUCUUAUCUGUUAAUUAUACCUUUUCUUUUUAUUUUUCUUACUGGUUACCCUGGAGUUCCCAGCUCUAUAAUUACAAGUAAUCCAAAUCCACUGUUAAAUAACACUAUCCCACUCAAGAGUAAGUAUCUUAUAAUCAUAAAAUAUUUCUGAUUCCUCCCUGUCAUCCCUCAAAUAUCAUUACUGCCAUUCAUUUCACUUAUAUGCAAGCUUGCAUGCAAAUAUAUGUGUGUGCAUACAUAGGUACAUUUUGCAUUAUUAUUUUGAACAAAUUAGUACCUGAUCCACUAAGAAUAAGAAAAAUAUAAUACUGGACAUUUUUUAAAAGAAUGGGAAAAAUAAGUUUUUUUUUAAUUUUUUUGACAG